UGAGCAAUCUGCCCUUCUCUUUGGAAUAAGCGUGGGAAACCGCGUCUAAUGCCGAAUACGACCUCCUUUCGCAUGAUCGGAGGUGGAAAGCUCCGGCGGAGAAGGAUGAGCUCGCGGCCUAUCAGCUUGUUGGUGAGGUAAUGGCUCACCAAGGCAUUGACGGGUAGCCGGCCUGAGAGGGUGACCGGCCACACUGGGACUGAGACACGGCCCAGACUCCUAGGAGG
rnacentral:rRNA from 1 species